GCAGGGACAGGAGGAGGGGGCGGAGACUGCGUCACAGCUGAGAGAGCUGAGCCUGUGUCUCCUUCACACUGUCCUGGAAACACACAUGAAAGCUUCACAGCCUGGAAACAGGAGUAAAAAGUUGAAUUGUACACAAUAAGACCAAGGAGACACAUUGAGUUGGAGAGAUGAUGAUAAGAAGAGUGAGAUGGAUGAACAGAGAAAGAAGGUUAGUCUUUUCUUACCUCUUUGAAAUUAUUAAAGGCUGCAAUAAUCAUU